UGAAGGGGUUAAACAAGGGUAUAAAAGCAAGUUUUUAAAACGUAUUGCAAGUAGUCGGCUUUGUAUUGUAAAAAUUCAUCAAUUUACAUAAUAAUCGUUUACAUGUGUUAUCUUUAUGUGACGAUGUUUACUUAUUCCAAAGUGAGUUUUUGUACACUGUUAGAAUUUACAACCUGUAAAUUAAUAACAACGCGUAGUUGUAAUCCAAAACAGAUGUUUAUCAUGGGAAAAUAAAGGCUUAAGUUCACAAUAUAAUAAUCUGUGACAGUCGAAUUGGUUUAAUAAAAUCCAAUAAUAGCUUAGGGUUGGGAUUCCACGUUACGUUGUUGAUGGUAUGGUAACACAACAGGGUACCAGUAAUCUUUUGUUUACUUCCGGCUACUUCUCCAUAAAAGCCUGAUGUACACUUAAGCAUACGUUGAAAAAGGACAAAUGCUGUGAAAAUUCAGGGGAAACUUUGGAGUCGUUGCCUGUCAAGUCCGGACACAUCGGAAUCUUUUUCUGCCAAGUAAAGAACUACUUUGCCUUCUGAGUUCGACAAAACUAAAAACAUGUAUUAUCAAUUACAACUUACAACAGACAUCCUCUACUUGUGAUUAACACCGAUGUGACAAUCGAUCUGUUUCCUUUUGUCGUUCGCAGCGGGCGAUAACCGUGGUACCUACUGCCAAAGUUUAACUUUUUCAAACCGCGGGACAUUCCUUCAGAAGAUAUAAUUCAGCCUAUCAAAGUAUCUUGGUGACAUACCCGCACUGCGAUUAGAUGGUAGCGUAACUAUUGAGAUAACAGCGGUUGAAACCAAUAGAAUCAACUAGGAAGAAACGAAAAGCAUACCUGAACAUAAAUUUGUCUGUGUCCAUGUCGACAACUGAACUUAAGCGACAAAGUAACUGAGAUUGAUGGGACUUCAUUGGAGUGUGACAUGUGUUUUUCUCUCCAAAACGAUGAUAACCAGAUUUUGGCUUACUGUCGGUUAGGCUACCUGUAUUAUAAAGCACAGAAAUACCUCAGAGCUACGAACACUUUUAUUUCAUGCAGUCCGAAUUUCAUGAGAAAAGGUAUCUUUAAAUGUUUCAGUUUCAUAUUUUGCGAAAUAUUUACAGAUUAAUUAUACAUAUCCGAUUUAGCCGAUGUUAUAACUGCCCGUAGAAAAUGCAUGGUUAUCACGUGUCUUCACUACGACUGACUUUACACGGUACCGACUGAUAAGUAAAGCAUUAAAAACGACAUACAAACUGAAUCAUUAUACUAUUAAAUAUAUUUUAAACAGAAACUAAGUUUUUUGUUGUCAAGCUUUUCGAAUCGUAAGAACUUAGAAAAAAACCUUGCGUUGGUUUUAUGGAAAGUUUGACAGGACGGCGAUGCUGAAAUUGCGUAAAAUGAACAUAAACAUUUCCAAUUAAAUGGAGGAUACUGCUUAAAGUAAGGUAGGAAACUGUUUUACGUUUUGCAAUAAUCAAGGCGAGCACGCGCCGGGGAAGAAUGCAAAAUAAAGCGCCAUUUACUGUAUACGGCAACAAAGGAUGAGGUAACUGCUAUACUUUGAUCUUGAACAUUGCCUCAACACUAAAAUAAUGACGUAUUCGAUACAAUACCCAUUUCGUUUCCGGUAAAUUUAUUAUUUGCCUGUGCUUCCGUUUUGAGAUAUGGUGCCUUUAUACCGUUUAUAUCACAGUCAUGUGUACAGUAUCUUAGAAUCAACUCUGGCUUUGAAUUUAAUAGCAAAAUGUGUAGCUGCAGUCUCAUUUGGUAAGUCAGAAAUGACAUUCGAGAUACACAAAUCAUAGAACUACAGUUAGUCUGAGCUGACAUUACUUCCCGCAAAAUUUAAUUUACUUACAGUGAAAACAGGAAGUUAUCGCCCUGCUCGCUUAGAAUCCGAUUAAACGAUGAUCUAAAUAUAUUACUUUCUACCAGAUAAUCAGAAAGCUCCUAGUUCGUAAUAGAAAGACGAUUGCAGAAUCUAUGAAUCGCUUUGUUAAUCAUUAUUCAAUUGACACAGCUUACGUCUGUCAUGUGCAUUUAAAUUAUUUGAAUAAAUUAAAAUCAUUUCCUCAACUUACACAGCCAUCCGGCGCUACCAUUUAUUUUAUAUUACAUAUUCCCUUUCUCUUAAUAUCCUUGUAUUUUAUAGUAAAAAUGGCUUGUGAUGGAUGAGACAGAAAGCUCCAUGUAUUAUUGAUAUCAUGAACAGGAUGAGCUAAUUAUCUUACAGUAAUAUACAUGAUCAUUGCUUUGUUUAAUUCCAAGUGGAAGAUGAAACUUCAGCUGAACAGCUAGCUAAUGUGACUAUUACUGCGGCGUGGUUGGAAAAGCGAAAUAUAGCAUACUUGCAGAGAAUUCAAUCAAGUUAAUUCGAAAAUGAAAGAAGGAAACUCAGAUCCCUUGUCCAUAAAAGGAUUUGCGUGUGAUCAUUCAGCCUAGUAUGUGCGCCGUACACUUUGAUGUUAAACUUUCAAACCCGAUAUUCUGAUUAAGUUAUGAAUGACCUCGUUUGGAAACUUUGCAACCCUUCCUGAUGUUAGAUUUUCUUGAUUUCCUGUUAAAGUGUCUUAUUUUCUAAAUCACUAGAUAACCAGUUCAGAUAUGAUGUAGAGUAAUAUUGCAAACAAUUAUUUAUUAGUAUAAAAGAGCUAUCCAUUAUGUGGUUUAUUUACGAGACUGCUUGAACUUCUAGUUUAAUUGUUGAUGUCCGGCUUUAAUGAAUAUAGUAACAGUAUUGACUGACAUGGAAAAAUCUGAUAUACUAAAGACUUAACAGGAUUGCGUAAAAUUUCCGGAAAUAAAAAAGACACAACAAAUGAACAAUGAUUACUUGAAUAAAAUCUGCAGAAUGCCAAGAGAAGCACUAACCUUUGCAAAUGUCUGAGCACUGGGUAUCUUGAAGCAUAUCGUUCACAGAAGAAGUAUCUUGUCUUUGUCAAAGGAAUGAGUCCGCUGUACAGAAAAAUAUCAGAAAAUCUGGCAUCAAUUUUUGUGAGCUGAUGAGUGUUACUAUUGCUCUUCUUGCACCUCAACAAUGAAUACUGGAAAGAAAUGCAAACUAUAUGUAUACUGUACACUAUCAUAUACAUUAUAUUGUCGUGAAAUACCUAUGGACUAGAAAACCGAAUGCAAUGAUUAGAGGGAGGGAGUGAAUCACGUUUGCACUUUGUUUAAGAACAUUUUUGCAUUAUGGAACCUUAUGCUGAUAACAGCACUAAAGUUUCUGGAUAUUGAUGAAGAGAUAGAUGGAUUGAUUGACAGUAAACUUGAGGAAACUAAACGUGACAUGAAGACAUUUUCAUUUAGAAAACACUAGGACACGAUAGAGUAGCUUCGUUGAAGACAGACACAUAUUAAACAUUCUAAAUUAGCUAACUAAACUUUAGUGAUUUACCACAUAUCCUUAGGACUGCUGGAACAUUUUUAUGCAAUCUCGCCAAGCGUACGUUUGUUUUUGACAACACAGGAAAUGACAUCAGAAGACCUUCAGCUUUUUCUGGAAGUAAAGAAAAUGAAACUUGAAAACGAAAGUCGCAUUUGCAUUGGUCUAUUGUCAGGGGUCACGCGCAGGGAUCACCCUGUCUAAAUGUAUGCGCGUGAAGUUUUUUUCUUUUUUCUUUUGCUAGAUCUAAUAGGGAGUCAAUUUUCAGCACUUUCUGACGAUUUGAAAAUACCUGAUCUUUUUAGCACAUGUCAGCUUUUCAUCUACGAAAAAACACAAAUCCAACAGGGGUCCGUAACGGAGCAAGGGUGUAUGGAGAUUUUUGGAAAUUCUGAAAGUGUCAUUAUAUAUGCCUCGGAUGUAAGAUAUUUCCGUAUUUGAGAGCUGCAGACAUUUCAGAAAUAUUUUCAAACUGAAUUUCGUGUCAUAAAUGUUGAUUCUACGGAAGCGUGAAAAGGCCAUAAGACGCUAAUACGUUUUACUACGUUACGGCAGCGGAAAGGAUAUACAAAAACUAACUAAAUCAUGUGUAUACAGUGAAAAGGAAGUGAAAAAAUGCCCCCGGCAUCAAUAAUUGUGGGCAUUGUUAGCCGUGUCGGAAAUCAAAUGCGACAGAAAAAUAAUGAAAAAGAAGACAUACAACAGCUGUAGGCAUUUGCAGAGAAAGAUAUGACAAGAUAAGUUCGAUUGGUCAAAGUCAAACAUGUAUUAUACGUAUUAAAUUAUCUAACUAAACCUUA